AAGUUAGUGGCGCACGGGUGAGUAAUGUAUAGUUAAUCUGCCCUAUGCUGGAGGACAACAGUUAGAAAUGACUGCUAAUACUCCAUACUCCUUCUUAACACAAGUUAAGUUGGGAAAGUAGCUCUUAAUAAUGCAUAUAAAAUGGAUUUUAAAACAAAAAGCUAAAAAGAUAACAAUAAACUUUUUUGAAACUUUACAUAAGUAAGGCAAGAAAAAGCGAAGCAGUUAGCUUUUAAAGAUUUUUGUAAAAAUUCUAAAUUAUAAAAUAGUUUUUAAAUUAAAAAUGUUUUCUUUAUUAAAGAAAAUACUAAAAGUAAUUUUAAAACUUUUUUAUAUGUAUUAUUAAGAGCUCUCG
rnacentral:rRNA from 1 species